ensembl:lncRNA
AUGCAUUUUAUGUGUUAUAUAUGGAUGCAUACAUGGACACGUAUAUUAUGUAUGUGUGUAUAUGUGCGUGUGUAUUUUAUAAAUAUACACAUAUUUGUGUGUGUGUCUAUGCAUAUGCAUGUAUCUAUGGCUGCGUGUGUGAGAAAGACCAGGGCAGACAGACGAAGGGUGGAGGGCGGAGGAUGUCCCAGUCACAAAAUCUCUGCUUUUGCUCCCCUCAGGAAGAGGCUAGCAGCUGGUUCCCAGAGGCUUGUGAUGACCCCUAAUGGAAGUGCCCCAGGGAGAGCCGGGAAUCUGCAGCCUCUGUGGUCACCCAGAAGCCCCUCCCAAGGGCUUAGCCAGCCGGGGAGACCCUGCCACCCUCUGGGGCAUCUCUGCAGACCUAGGCGUUUCAGGAAAAAGGAGGAGGAGUUCCCUCAGUGGGAACCAUGCCCUGCUGUGCCCAUGGCUCCCUUGCUGGCUUGUGGUGAAGCCCGCAUCAGCCUGGCAUCUGGCGCAGAUCUGGGGCCCUGCCAACGCCCCUUCGCAUUCAGAAAUGCUACUCUCAGGGCCCUGCCAGGGGAGUUGAGGAGGUUGGCCAGCAUGUGCCCUCCUUCUGAAGGCCGGUGCCCAGCAGCAGGAAACAGCCCUGGCAGCACAGCCAGGAAUCAGCCGCUUUCUGGGGUGAGAAACAAGGGAGCGUGAUGGGAAAGCAGAGAAAAGACGCAAGGGGGAGAGGUGGCCUCAGUGCCUGAGUCUGAGCCCUGAAACUUAGCCCCGCCUUGUUCUGUGCUGCACCCCAGGGCUGAGGCUUGACCACGAGAGCCCCCCAGGGCCUGCCUAGGCUGCCCAGGGCUCUGCAACUCAGAGAAGCGACUUGCCCAAGGUCACCCAGCUGGAGCCUUAACUCCCGGCCAGGCCUUCACCCCUGCACCUGCAUGAAUGGCCGAAAGCCUGGGCUGUCUUCUGGUGGGUGAGGAGAACAUGGGCAGGUCGUUUAACCAAGCUCUCAGCCUCAGUUUCCUCAACUGUAAAAUGGGAGUCAUAACAGCAGCUGCCUCUCCCCAGUGAAUUGUUGUCAAGGACAAACGAGAUAAUUUGAGAGGUGCUUUGCAAGCCUUAAGGUGGACUGUAAUAUUCUGCUCCGCCAGGUCACCAAGGGGCUGUCUUACAACAAAAACCUCCCCAUCUCACAACCCUGUCACAACCCUAUCCAAAAAGCCUCCCUGCUGCCUCUUGGAGAAAGUGGGACCCCCUUUGUUUUUGCACUGACAGCCCCUCACAAUCGGACUCUAGGCUGUCCUGCACUCCGCUCCCAUGCCUCACCUCCACAAAUUCUCCAGACCAGUCCUCUCUGUGUUCAGACUGGAGUUAAGAAGAUGUCCAAGGCUGAGCUUCCUGCUUCUGACCACGCAUGUGUGCCAGACUCAGCUCUCUACUGGCAGGGUCCUCAACAUCCUCUUCUCUUCCAGCUUCAGGCUACGUUGAGGCCAUUCCAAGCCACUAUUCAGAAGAGGAGCAGAAAGGAAGUCUCCUCCCCAGACGCCACGUAGUCCUGAGCACGUGGCAUCCGGGGCACGCUCUCUGUCUAGGCAAGCUGGAGCCUCCAUCUGUGUUUGCUCUUCUGGAUCCGGAUGAACAGUUAUCUAUCCUCAGAUGGGUGUGUCCAGGCUUGAAGUCAACUUCACAAGUCUGGGGUGUCCAG